UUCUCUCUGCCAAGGACUGAUUCAGAGUUCAGGGAUUAAGCCUCUGGCGUGGGGAUUAAGCCGCAGUUUCACAGGCUCUGACCCUCCCGGCACCAGAUGCUGGGCCUGGCCAGGUACAGCACGUGCUGUUGAGAAGGUCCUCACCCCGGGUGUGGGCAUGAAAGGGAAGAAUGAAAUGAGGGGCCCGAGUUUUCUGCUUUCAAUCUUGAUUCUCUUCUACUUCUGCUGAAUCUGAGAUGAGAACAUACUUUGGAAACAACCAAGGAGCAUGAAGGAAUUUAUCCCCAAGGCCAAGAUGAAUUUGAAGUCUCAGAAUGUGGAUGUGGCAUGGAAAAUUCUGGACCUUUAAUGCUUCCCCACCUGAGAUGACUAAAGCAGACAGAUCUGGAUUCUCUAAAAGAUGUGAACCCCAAAAUAGGAAAAGCUGGUGUGACAAUCCAGGGGUCAAGGAUGUGUUAGAACUUGGAGUCAUGGAUCUAAGACUCAGAACUCUUAUUUGCAGGUUUGUGGUUGUGUAUUGAAUAAUCGCUUUGGAACAGACUAAUGGUCAAGAGCUUCCUAGAAGUGUGAGAUGGCUUGUCACUGCACUUAUAUGGGAAUACCUAACGGAAACUGUUUAUAAGCACAAUGGUCCACCUGGAUAGUACAGGGACACACGUUUCUUCUCAGUUGUACAGACCUGCCAGCUCCUGCUCGGGAUGUGGAAUGCCCUUCUUGGAGGGCAGGCCUGAGUUGAUGCAGUGCUGGGUGAGUGGCAGGUUGUACAGAAGACUUCACAAGAAGGCUGAAGAUGUUGUCCUAGAUGGAGCUCAGAUACCAUGGUGCAAGAAUGUGUCAAUCACUCUACACAGAAAAGGCAGGAGACAGGUAUGCAAAGAAACUGACUUGCCCAAGGUUGCCCAAGAACUGGCAAUUGAAUCUGGACAGUUGGCGCUGGAGUCCGUGGUCUUAGCCACUGCACCAUGAUGGCCAGAAUUAGGAGAAAUAAUAGAGCAACUGUAUGUAUGCACUCCAUAGGAAACCAUUCUCAAACUCUACCCAAUGGACAUACAAUGGUUCAAAGACCCAAUGGACAUACAAUGCUGCUUCUGGUCUAACCAGAGAGGUGACUUAUGGUACGAUGCAGGCCCAUUGCUGACCCAGUCACCAGAGCUGAAUCAGCACUGAGAUGCUGCCCAGAUCCAUGGAGAGUCUGUUUAAUAUACUCAAUGAGGAUUGAGGUGGACUCAGACAGAAAUUCUCUUCUUGAGUCUAGUUACAGACAAGAAAAUCAGACUUAUCUUCUUUGCUUGACCAUAGCAAGUGUUGAUCAGGCAAUGAACGUUGUUCAUCCACUUUCUCCAGCCACUGAGGUGAAUGCCGAGAUGGUGUGGCUAAUUUCCAUGACAGCCACUGUGUACCAAAUCCAACACCUGCACAGGAUACCCUUUUAGGACAGAAAGGGCUUCAAUUAAAAAUUUCUACACCAUUUUCCUCUAUGAUCAAGGAAUUGUGUGACUUCAAGGGAUGGAAACAUUAGUCAGCAUUUCACAAGAUUAGAUUUCCGGGCUGAAGAUCAGAAGCUGCAAUAAAUCAAUAUCUGAAUUUGCAAGUCAGUGAGAAUAACAAAGGCACUUAUGUUUAGCCCAACUGCAAGCCCAGCCAGUAGGACACGAUCAUCUUCAUUGGUUCCCCAAGUGAUAAAACCCACACGGAUGGAGACAAAGAGCAGAUGUGGCAUCAGUGGUGGUCUUCUGUCCCACUACUGUGACUGGCGCCCCAAGAGGGUGAAAGACACCACAUUGGACUGUUCUGUCAUCACCAUGAAAACAUGAUUCCCUUCCCAAAAAAGCAGUCUAGCAAAAUAACACAAACAUGACCAAAGUUGGAGUUAAUUGCUGCAGGAGAAUGAGUGAUCUAAGGGAUCUUGGGGUAGUCAAAGUAUCUCAUUCCCUGAAAGCAUCACAGAGAAGGAGAAAUAAUGUUUUAAAAGGUCUAAAAUUGAAUCCAGAAAUUUGAGACUUUAGAACUUCUGGCAUCAAAUCCAGAAUCCUCCAUUCUCUUCUGAGACUCACUAACCAACUUGGAACAAGACUCUGAAAAAAUGGGGUAUAUCUUCUGCCUCCAAUCUUGCAGGGGAGCUUAGAAUCUUCCUUCCAUGAGAAGUUUUGGUACUAUUUUUUUUAAGUUUUGUUAUUUUUAAUUAAAGUGUCCCUGCUUUCCUCCUCUUCCCUGUGUCUACAUGUUUUUCUUUCUCUGCCAGCCAUUCCUCAUAUUUGUAAAUGAGAGAGGAUUAUGCAGAUAUAUUCGUUCCAUCCUCAUCAUCAACAGCAUCAUAAUCAUCAUCAUUGUCAUUGUCAUUAUCUUUGGGUGACAAGAGACAACAUGUGAACAGCAAUCACAGUACGUAAAAUCAGGGAAGAGUAAACUUGCAAGCAUCCUGAGUAAAUAGAUGAUAUCUCUAAGAGCAGAUGUUUCCACAUGUGCUUCCACAAGCACAUUCCUCUCUCACCUGUUCUCUUAGGGACAUGCCCAGACAGUCAAACUAUCCAUACAAAUACAGUACUUGUAGCCUGUGUCCACUUUAAACAGGACCCAGAUUUUCCAUUGGAAUGCAGCUGCAUGGCUAGCUCAACAACAUCAGCCAUCCUGAAGAUUCAAUGAUGAAAUAAUUUCCUCAAAUUUCCCUGGAGCUGAUGACAUUGGCACUCAUUCUGAAUUGGAGUGUUUAUAGCAUUAAUUAGGGAUCAAUACAUGUAUUAGAGAAAGGAAUUAUGGCAUUUUACUUUGGGAAAUAGCAUAGUUUUCUUCAGUAUGACAGAAAAACUCUGUCUUGAAAGGAAUUCAAGUUUUCCGUCUUCUUCAUUUAAGUAACAAAGAUGAAGAAUGUAAACAAGUUGACAUUUUAGUAGCAGUUCAUUUAACCAAUAAUCUUCGAUCAUCUUCUACUUUCUGUGAUGAGUAUUAUGCUAGAGAAUAAUAAUAAUGAUAAUAACUAAUGUUUAUUGGGUAUUUACUAUAAUCCAGGUCUUGUGUUCAUGUAUCAACUUUAAUGAGUGGUUGCCUGACAUGUGGUGCUGAGAUGGAGUCUGAGACCUUGUCAGGAUUUUUUUUUUUAAUUUUUAUUUAUUUAUGAUAGUCACAGAGAGAGAGAGAGAGAGAGAGAGCGGCAGAGACAGGCAGAGGGAGAAGCAGGCUUCAUGCACGGGGAGCCCGACGUGGGAUUCGAUCCCGGGUCUCCAGGAUCGCGCUCUGGGCCAAAGGCAGGUGCCAAACCGCUGCGCCACCCAGGGAUCCCCCUUGUCUGGAUUUAAUGAGAAAGAGUGUUGCAGUUGAUUAACGAUGUCCGCUUUGGGCACAAGAAGGAAAAAUGAUGAUACGUACAAAUAUAUUCACAUCCUAUGGCUUUGUAUUAUCAAUAAAGAUAGAAUGUAGAAUGCGACAAAGCACAAUGACAUUGUGCUCUGAAGUCCAGAGCAGAAAUUCAGGAAAAUCAUUAACAUGUAGGUGAAUUUUAUCUUAGUUUUGACAGAAAGUCAGACUUUGUUGGGUGAGGUUGAAAGAAAAGAGAAGAACAUGUUAAACAGAGGGAAUCAUUUCAACAAGAUGCUGAGGAAAGAGGUAGGGUAUGCUAACGGAUAGCUACUAGUUGGGCCCAUCUGGUACUUACAAGGGACAAUAGGAAUUUAGAGGGACAAUAGUGUGGAAGAAAAGGAGAGAAAGCUUCAAUAUUGGCUGAAAGUGGUUAGAAAUGUAUAACUAUUUAAAUUAUUUUGUGGUAUGGCCAGAUAUGAGGAUGAUUUUGAAAAGAGCACAUAGAAUUUAUCCAAGAGAGGGAUUAGAGCAUACCAGUGCUAAUGCAAUUGUGAAAGUCUGGGUGGGACAUGUAAGUUCUGCUAGUGUAGGAAACCGCUGUGAGCAACAUCAGCAGGUGGAAUGAAUUGUCUUGAUAACCAAGUGAGCACAUGGGUGAGGACAAGAGGCAUACCUAUCAUACAUUUCUAUGACAUUUAUUUAAUAGAAAUAAGGAAGCAGGAGGUUUUAUGAUGAUGAUCUUUAUUUUGUUCAUCUUGAUUUUGGGGUGUUGAGAGGAAAUCCACAUCUAGUAGGCAGUUGACAAUUAUGUUUGGUGAUCAGGAAACUCUGUAAGGCCAGAAAGAUGGUUUAGGGAGAGGUUUGCCUAGACAUGAUAGCUGAUAAACUGAGAAUUCAGGGGCUUGCCAUGGAAGAGAGCAGAGACAGGAAGAUAAAAAUUGACCUUAGCAGCUGCCUUUUUAGAGUACAGAAGAUGGAGCCAUGCCAGCAAAGGUGACAGAAAAGAAGAGGUCAUUAAAUAGAAAGGAGAAGAGGACGAAGAGAAUGGUCAACCUCAGGAUCAUUGUAAACAGCCCUGCCUUGAAUUUCUUUUGGAUUUUAGGAUGCCAAUGCAUGUUCUCAUCUAUUAUUUUAAUUAAUGUUCAAAAGUUUGUUUUAGAAUGUUUACAUAAAUUAUGAAAUAUCCCUGGAAGUGUCUUGGGUUUUGUGCUAUUUUUGCAUAUGAACAAGUAAAAUUUAAAUUGCUCUUGAGCUAUUGUUCUCUCAUGCAUCCCAACCAUUGAAAUGUGCAGAGGGUUAAGUGUAAAAAUGCAAAGAUCUCUCUUGAAUGUUCAUAGUCUCUAUUUCCCUAUCUGCUCUCAAUUUCCUCCAGAUAUGAGCACUCCUUUCUUGCCAUGUCAUUUCCACUGACUGAUGGGUCACAGAAUGGACUCCAUCACUGGGGCUCUAUCCUCUUUUUCCAGGAGCCUUAUGUAAAAGUCCAUAUAUAAAAGUUGGCUUCUAAAAAUCUUGAGGUAAAUAAAACUGCCAAAGAUAUUAUGAUAUUUUCAUUUUCUGCCUUCUUUAUUUUUCCUCCUAUUUUUCCUUUCUCUAUCUUUUUUUCAGAAAGUGAUUCCCAAGAAUUUCUGGGACUCAUCCUCUAAUACCACUUCUAUUUUCUGUUUUUUUUUUCUUAAUGUUUUCUUUUGCUGAUUUGCUUCAGAAUCUGGAAUUUAUGAUUUUUAUUUAUUUUAGUAAGAAUGUGUAGUAGGAGAUCAUGUGGAAAGCCAUGCUUAAAUAUUCUUAUGUUUUCUUCUGAUCUGUAACUGUUCAGUAAGUGAGGGCUGCAUUGGUAUCUAUAUCUUGCCAUCUUUCAGCAGCUUAUAUGGCAUUCCUAUUUUACCACAAUAUAAAACAUGCAUUCUCAAGGGGGCAAUAUCAUCUCCAAAAGGGGUGAAAAUUAGUUUCUUAGAGGGGGUGAGAAAAUCUUACUCAAAAUCUGUAAAGGACUUAUAUACAUAUGCGUAAACAAAUACACAGUCUAUCUGUGGUGUUAUAAUUUUACUGGAGAGUGAUUAGGGAAAAAAGAGUCGGAAAAGUCUUCUUAGGCAGUGAUGAUGAAAAAUAAAAGUUCAGAAACACUGAUCUAAAAGAAAAUUAUGGUUUGUUUCAACACAAACUCUUGCUUGAGCCAAACAUUAUAAAUAAAUUAUGAAGCAUGACAAAAUAGAGGGGAAAAUGGACAUUUUUGUCCAAAUAUUCACCUGUUUUCUGCCCUUUUGAGUGCUUUAAAUGACCUACUCUCUAUUAGUCAUAUCAUUUUUUCUAAUAAUAUUUUUCCAAGAGCAUAAUUCUAGGGUUUAGAAUUAUGAGUGACCCUGGUUUUUAAUCUCCUUUAUCAUUUGUAAAAUCACACAGUAGGCAUUUCUGUUUAACUGUAUGUAUGUAUGUGUGCACUUACCUUCUUCCAACAAACCAUUAUAAUUCACCCCAAUGUAGGAAUAUGGCAAGUGCUAUAGAGAACAGGUAAGAAACAAUAAAUUUGGAAUAUUCAGGACCUUGGGAAAUAGCAAUUUUGUGCCCAUCAAAUAAUGACCAGUUUCCUUUUUCAAUCAUGUCUGAAUUGCUAAAUUAUAUGUUGCUUCAUCCUUUGAUGGGCAUCCUUUAUCAACCCGUACCUUUCUGUUUAUUAGGCCACAUCCUUUUCCCUAUUUCGAUAUGAAUUUUGUAAAGUACUUGGCAUUUUUGAAAUAAAUUUUGUAAACCACACCAUCAUAUUAUCUGUGGUACAAAAUUGCAGUUAUGAAAUAAAUCAAUCAUGGGAUGAAGAGUACAGUCCAGGGAAUAGGAUCAAUAAUAUUGUAAUAACUUUGUAUGGUGGCUGAUGGUGACUACAUUUACCAGGUGUAAUGUAUAUAAAUAUUGGAAUUACUAUGUUGAUUAUUAUAAUAUUGUAUGUCAAUAUAAUAUUGUAUAAUAUAAUACCUGAAACUAAGAUAAUAUUGCAUAUCAAUUAUACUUAAUUGAAAAUAUCUCUCUGGGGCUCCCAAGACAAGUGUUUACUAUGUCACUUGCCAUGCAUUAUGAAAUUUUUAUAUGUGUGUGUAUGUGUUUAAGACUGAUCUUCUCUGGGGUGAGUUGACCCCAAACUUCAGGAGAAGAGAGGUAGUCAAGAGUGAUGAGAACUCAAGAGAAUCAUAGUGUUUUAUAUUUGAAAGAGUCAUGGAGAUCAUCUAGAAAACUGUACAAGCUGCAUUAUUCUAAUAGAAUAGUGAAGGUUCACCAAGGCCCAGGGAAGUAUGAGAAGUCCCCACACUGGGACAAGCUUGGGCAAACAGCCAAAUGCCCUGAUACUCAUUUCUGCAUAUUCUUCUCCGCAUCAAGUAAUGAUUUUCUGGAGUGCAAGUUUUCCUUUCCAAAGUCUACUUUCUUGUUCUUUGUGAUAUUUAAUGCAUAAUUUCUCACAAGUGAAGAUCUCAAGAUGUCUUAAUGAUAUUUUAAGUGAACUCAAGGCAUUAAGAAAGAUUAGAAAUUUUCUAGAAUGCUCUAGAAAGAAGACUCUUAAUAAAAAUCUAAAUGAGUAUGCCUAAAAAUUUGUGUGACUAUACCCUUCUAUGGUCACCUGAGCUCUUAGAAUGAAAUUCUUUGACUUCUGGCCUUGUAAUCUUUGUAUACUUACUAUCCCUUUCUUUUCUCCAAUUUUUACUGGCUUUUCUUUUAAUUAUCAUGUGUUUCAUUCAGGUUUGUGAAACUUUGAUAGUGGUGCAGUGAAAAACAACCUAAUGAGGAAUUAUUAGAACUUCCAUUUUGUGGGAUGGCAGUAUUAAUAGCAAAAUUUUAUUUUGAAAACUUUCCUUUUGUACAUGAUUAACAUUUUUUAAUAAAAGCAUUUGCAAAUAA